GCGAACCCCAGGAUGGGCGGGAU
rnacentral:rRNA from 1 species